UCAACAUCUUAGCUAUAUGUAUGUACUCUUUGUAUUUACAACUAAUUGACCUGGAAAACUCAACAAAUACCAACAGUUGCAGCAGAAACUUUGUCUGUGGUUAAUUGUUGCAAAUGAAGAGACAAACCAGCAUCUGCCCAGUUUAUUUUUCAUGUCCUAAUUCCUGAAUCAUCAUUGUAAUGAAGUGAGCUGCAUGAGUAAUGCAAUUGUAAACAUGAUUUUUGAGCCAUUACUAUUAGCAAGUUGCAACCAUUUAGAGGCAAAGAAAGUAGAAAUCAAUUUGUCUUAUUUACAUAUAUAGAUACAGCAAAGUAAACCUCAUAGUAUUAGUACACUCGUACACCCUCACUCUCCAUGUGUUUUAUCAGAUUCCAGCUUCCAAUCAUCUCUCCUAUAAGGCACUCGGCCAAAACCCCAAAUACGUACGAUAUGACGAAAAGAAGAAAACAAAUGAAGAAUAUGUACCAAACUUAGCUACUCUGCACUGGAUUUCUGUCUUCUCCGUGACCUACUAAACAAUUUAGAUGGUGGAGAGGGAGAAAACUCGAAUGGCAGAGAUGGAAGAUCCAUAUCCCCUUUCAAAAUCUUUACAAUUUCUCCAAUAUCUGGUCUCAAUUCAGGCAUCUUCUGCAAGCAACUCAAAGCCAAGUUGAUGCACAUGCUUGCCUGUUCUUUAUUGUAGUCAUCCUUCAAUCUCUCAUCUACAAGUUCUAAGAUGUUCCCAGCUUGAGCUAGGUGCCUACACCAACUUAUCAAAUUUGCUUUCUCAAGCUUCAUGGGUGAAGCAAGAACAUGUAAUGGCCUUCUACCAGACACGAUCACAAGAACCAAAACUCCUAAACUGUAUAUAUCGGCCUUCUCCAUCAAGUACCCACAACCACCAUAUUCUGGUGCCACAUAACACAGAGUGCCUCUCAUGCUUGUUGUGCUGCUUAACUCACGACUAAAAAAAUCCCCACUCCACAUAUCACUUCCUGAAGAACGCACAUUCUUUUUCUUCCACCCUCGUCUGAAACUAAACUCCCCAUUUUGAUCAGAGUCAUUUAGAGUCUGCUCUCCAGAUUUGUUUCGCCUCAGGAAGUGAAACCGGCGACUCAGAUGAAAAUGUGGAGUUUUAAGCUUUUUCUUCCACUUGGUUUCAAGAUUCUUCAGCUUAGUACCUUUCUUACUAAUCUCAUCCAAGUGCUCUUCUUUCCACCACUCUUGCAUCUUUCUAUUCUUCCUUCUACGAUUCUUCCUCCCCCUUGAAUCUUUCUUCUCAAAUUCUUUUAUGCAAAUUUCAAACCCCAAUUCAUGUAACUGAGGUUCACUGGCAUCUUCUAACUUGUCCAAUGGGGCUGAACGAUUCAAUUCUGUUCUUUCAGGAGUACUUUUCUUUUCUUCAUCCCAAUCAGGAUUCGCCGAAGGGCAAAUCUGGCUCCCUAUCCACUCCAUAACAUAAUCUUUACUACACAAUUCACCACUUCCAUCCUGUCUCCACCACCAAUCCUUUCCCCAUUUUUUUGUACCAGUGGAAUCAUCAACAACAGACGAACCAUUAAAAUUUAACUCUUUACUAUGAUCAAUACUACAAGGCUCAUCAUCAUAAGGCACAAACUUGCAAUUCCAAUCAUCACCACCAAUAUCCAAACCAGAGACUUCCUUCCCUUUCCCAUUUUCUACCUUAACAUCACUCUCACUCACAAUGUUGGCAUUAUAAUUGAAAGAAUUCAUAUUCAAAGCUCUAACAUUAUAACAUGUUCUACUAUUUUUUGAGGAAGAAGAAGCUUGUAAAGCAAGAGCGAAAUCUACCUCUUGACAAGUCUCCACAGGAGUACCAAUUGCUGGAGUCUCUGAGGUCAAGUUUCCUGAAAGAUCCUGACUCUUCCACAGUUCUUGACUCUUUCCCAAGUCUUGGCUAAACAAAUCCACUCCAAACUCACCCUCCACCUUAAUUCUUGAUAACCCGAAAUCUGAAAUCUUGGCUCUAAAAUCAAAAUCAAGCAAAACAUUGCUUGGCUUAAUAUCCCCAUGAACCACUGGUGGAUCACAUCCAAGGUGCAAAAACUCAAGUGCUCUUGCAACAUCAAGAAUAACACUGAAUCUUCUGUCCCAACUCAGGCUCAAAUGCCCCUCCCCAAAUAGCAAUUCUUGCAAACUUUUAUUUGGCAUGUACUCAUAGAUAAGCAAGCGCUUAUUCCUUUCAAAACAGUAUCCCAAUAAAGUAACCAAGAAAGGUGAUCUUAACCCACCAAGAAUCUGCAACUCAUUUUGGAACUCUCUCUCUGAUUGUAAAGAGAGAGUAUCAAGCCUCUUGAUAGCGUAUAGCUUUCCAUCCCUUGCAAUGCCUCUAAAGACGGUACCAGAACCACCUUUGCCAAUAAUAUUAUCAUCAUCAAAAUCAUUGGUAGCAACCUUCAGCUCUUUGUAAGAAAAUCUCUGGAGCUUUAGAGGAGUACCAGAGUCAAAAGGGAUGGUUCUUGAGCGAUUUACAAGAGAAUACCAAAGAUGGUAAAGAAAGUAGACAAUUGUAAAGAUAAUCACCAGAGAGGCAGAGAUUGUGAGUGUCAAGAACAAGAUUCUGGUCUUAGUGACAAAACCAGGUUUAUGAUGGUAAAAAUAACUCGGAGAUAAGGGCCUUGAAGGCAUGGUUUUGGUACCUUUUAGCUUAUUCUCUUCCUGGGUUAUCGAGGGUAUUGCAGUUUCUGGCCUUAGAAUUUGGUGAAGAAAAAUAUGUUAAUGGGAUUUUCUUUUCCCUUUUCUUUUUUCCUCCUUUUUCUUUUUCUUUUGAAGAUUCAUUCUCAAUUCUUGCAAUCUGUAUCCGAUGUUGUAGAUUGCUUUACAGUUGGAUAAUUGAUAAUUUUGUUGAGGACUGUGUUGUUGACAUAAUAUGUUGAUGAUGAUUAUUUAGAGCAGUGAUCAUCUAGGAAAAUGAAUGAAGAUUAGAAAAAGAAGGGUGGGGUGUGGAGGGUCCCAAGGCUCUUUUGACUAAAGAGAAU
rnacentral:misc_RNA from 1 species